AAAGAGUGUUCUUCCUAUGUUUUCCUCUAAGAGUUUUAUAGUGUCUGGUCUUAAAUUUAGGUCUCGAAUCCAUUUUGAGUUUAUUUUUGUGUAUGGUGUUAGGGAGUGUUCUAAUUUCAUUCUUUUAAAUGUAGCUGUCCAGUUUUCCCAGCACCACUUAUUGAAGAGACUGUCUUUUCUCCAUUGUAUAUCCUUGCCUCCUUUGUCAUAGAUUAGUUGACCAUAGGUGCAUGGGUUUACCUCUGGGCUUUCUAUCUUGUUCCAUUGAUCUAUGUUUCUGUUUUUGUGCCAGUACCAUAUUGUCUUGAUUACUGUAGCUCUGU